rnacentral:lncRNA from 1 species
CUAAUCUCUCGUCAGAAACUACAAGCCAGAAGAGAGUGGGGGUCAUUAUUAAACAUUCUUAAAGUGUAAAGACCAUCGAGGCUAGGAAGAAACUGCAUCAACUAAUGAGCAAAAUAACCAGCUAACAUCAUAAUGGCAGGAUCAAAUUCACACAUAACAAUAUUAACCUUAAAUGUAAAUGGGCUAAAUGCUCCAAUUCAAAGACACAGACUGGCAAAUUGGAUAAAGAGUCAAAAAACUGCCAACCAAGAAUGUCAUAUCCAACAAAACUGUCCUUCAAAAAUAAAGGGGAAACAAAGACAUUCCCAGAAAACAAAAGCUGAGGGAGUUCAUCACCACUAGACCUGAAUUACCAGAACUGCAAAAGGGAGUACUUCAAAUUGAAGCAAAAGCACACUAGACAACAAUAUAAAAGCAAAGAAAAUAAAAAUAUACAACUUUUUAGUAAAGGUGAAUAUUAAUAUAUAGACAAAUACAGAAUCCUGUAAUGCUGUAGUUGUGGUGCAUAGAUCACUUAAUUCAGGUAUAGAAUUUAAAAUAUAAAAGAAUAAGAAAAUAACUAUGGUUAUAAGCUAUGUUAAUGGCUACAAAAUAUAAAAAUAUAGAAUUUAUGACAUGGAUGAGCAUAAAGUAGGGGGAGGGAGGUGUAAAGAAGUAGAGGUAUUGCAUGUGACUAAAGUUAAGUUGUUAUCAGUUUACAAUAGAUUGAUAUAAAUAUAUAAUGCUUUAGGUAGUCCCCAUGGUAACCACAAAAAUACCAAUAGAAGAUGAACAAAAGAAAAUGAUAAAAUAAUAAAACCAUGUCACUGCAAGAAAAUCAAAGCAAUA